rnacentral:tRNA from 1 species
GGGCUUGUAGCUCAGCGGCAGAGCGGUCGGCUCAUAACCGAUUGGUCCCAGGUUCGAUCCCUGGCAAGCCCA